ACCACUGUACCAGCCACUUCCAAAGCUAAUGAGCACAGCUCCUGACACUGUGCAGGACCUGAGCUAACGUACCCGCUCAGUGCACUCCACGCUACUUGAAGAGCCAAAUAUAGCCAGCUCCCCAGGCAUCUCUGACCCAGUUUGACUCACCCAGCCUGGACCUCACUGGAAUCCCUCCUGAUUACACUGGCAUGAGAGGAGAAGAAACAGACCUUCCGUAGAAUCCAGGGCUGCAGUAACAGUGGUUAGUUACCAAUGGGGUGUAAACAAUCACAAACAGCUGCAAGUGGGUGCCUGGAGUAAAGUUGUGCUACUGAUCCUGAUCUGGCACCAGAAUCGGCUGACUUCAGACGAACCAGGAUCCAAUCUUUUAUGAAACACACUCGCUCAACACGACAUCUUCUCGGUGAAGGGAUGCAGAGGAUCAUUUCUCCACGCUGUGAUAGAAUGAAUCAGAAUUUUGUUUCAUUCACAGACAGGGUGACUCCAUCUGUGUAUCCUUCCUUUUUACCUCCAAGUGGUUUCAAUGUUUAUAGUUUGUCUUUGAUGGUUUCUAUUCACUGUUCUCAGUUGCUGCACUCGUAGAAAAUCGGAGCAAGCAAUAUGGACAUAAUCAGUUAGCCAGGAGGGGAGGGAAAAUGUUCCCUUCCACUUGAAUCGGCCAUCACCAAGAUGUCUUAAUGCUUCCCUGUGGACUCAUUUUUACUUCAAGACCAUAAGGCACAGCUUUCAAUAUAGUUACAUUAUUCCUUAAACAUUACCCAUACACACAAUGGUUAUAAGUAUUAAUAAGUUACAAGCACUCAGAGACAUCAUAUGCUACCCUUCAUGGAUAAACACCCAGAAAAUGGUGUAUGAGGUGGAGUGAGUUUGUCAGGCCUGAGACAGGAGUUGUUUGUAAAGAACAGAGAGCCCUUUGCCCAUUGGCACCAAUUGGCCUCUGUGUCACAACGACCCAUUCCUACCCAAUCCUAAGUUCACCAGAACUAGGACCCUGGUAGGUUAAAGCAGGCUUCGGAGAAUUAAAAGUGGUUACCACAGCAGUAACAGGAGAGCCAGAGCAGCCGAUUGUAAAAUACCCAGGAAAGGAGGGAAGGGGUUGGCCUUGCUCAGAGAAGCAGAUGCCACUGAAGUGUCCUGAGAUGCAAGCCAGGUCAUUGGGGGUUUACAGAAGGAGGCUCUGCCAUGGAAUUAAUUGGCCUAUUAAAAUACCAUGCUGUUUAGCCCUGUGUCCCAGGGUCCCACUUCCAAGCCAGCACCAUGCUAGGCAGCAGUCAGUCCCAAGCCUUACUGGCAUUCUCCAGAGUCCUAACCAACUUCCUUGCUGAGCUGUCACAGGCUGACACUGCCCCUUUAGGGGCAGAGCAGAGCCAGUGCAUCCUGAACCUCAUCCAAUUAAAAGGGCGGGGCAGCACUGGGUGCUAUCAAAGAUCCGGAAGAGACCCUCUGAGAGAUAUCUGGUGACUCAGGGCUGCCUGGCAGUACUGACUAGAGGAACAAGGAAGAGGCAAGUUAGCACUACAGCCUGUAUGUUUGGAACCUGGGAGAGGGCUGAAGGCGGGAGCAGCAAGAGAAGGUUGCUGGCUGACAUCCCCACAAAGAGCCAGAUGGAGGCAGGAAGAGAGCAGCAGCAGCAGGAGCUGUGUUGGCUCUAGCUGGAGAUGGGGAUAAGGGAGGGUGGAAGGCAGAGGAGCAAAGGAGGGGCCUACCAUUGCCACCUCCAGGGCUUGAAAGCUGCUACCAGAGGAACUGUGGAGGGCUGGGGGAGUGAGGGAUGCUUGGCAAGGAUGGCUGCCAGCAGAGAGGCUGGGGGGUUCCUGCUGGGAAGAAGAGGGGUUGCCCCAGGAGGAAGGGAUGAGUUGGCUGUCCCAGCAGAGGGACAGGAGGAGUGACAGAGUCUGGGUGUGGUGGGUGAUGCCAGAAUGUGGUAUGUGGUACGCCCAUGGCCGAGAGGAUGUGUGAUUUUCAGGACAGCUUGCACUGGGGUGAUAAAUGGACUAUGGUUUGGGACUUUUGGUAAUAAACUCGCCCCAAGAGAGCCUGCAUUGGAGCUCUUGGGUUAAGGGAGGGGGACACUAAGGACAGGCCACACAUGUCAUACCAUGGCUUGCCACCCAAGGUGCUGCAGACAGGGCUGCCUUCUGAUACCAGCCAUCGUGGGAACGGGAAAGGUGGUACAGCAGAACCUCAGUUACAAACCUCAGAGUUAUGAAUGACCAGUCAGCCACGCACCUCAUUUGGAUCCGGAAGUACGCAAUCAGGCAGCAGCAGUGACCA